GAGGGUAUAGCUCAGUGAUGGAGCCCAUGCUUAUCAUGCAUGAGGUCCUGGGUUCCAUCUCCAGUACCUCCA
rnacentral:tRNA from 1 species